rnacentral:rRNA from 1 species
UACGUAGGGUGCGAGCGUUAAUCGGAAUUACUGGGCGUAAAGUGUGCGCAGGCGGCAAGGCAAGUCGAGUGUGAAAGCCCCGGGCUUAACUUGGGAAUUGCGCUCGAAACUACUUUGCUGGAGUGUGGCAGAGGAAGGUGGAAUUCCACGUGUAGCGGUGAAAUGCGUAGAGAUGUGGAGGAACACCGGUGGCGAAGGCGGCAUCCUGGACCGGCAUUGACGCUGAGGAGCGAAAGCCAGGGGAGCAAACGGG